rfam:Bombyx mori DNA, contig: Bm_scaf27_contig17527, strain: p50T/Dazao, build 2, whole genome shotgun sequence.
UUAACUCAAUUCUGUAUGGCGUUGGAACGUUUGCCUACGUUUGCCGCUAGGGGCGCUGUUCCAACUGCAUACAAAUCUGAGUUA